AAUUUUACACAAGAAGAAAAUAGAGUGUCAGUCAAUUGACUUGAACACACAGAACAUACUUCCUCCAUCUCAAAUUAUCUGUAGUAUUUUCUAAAUAUAUCUGUCUCAAAUGAUUAUGUGUGUUAUCACCUCUUGAAGUUGUCAAUUUACUUUAUUCCUAAUUGUCAAUUAAGAUUUUCUACUCAUUUUCGUCGAUACGAUGACAAGAUCAUGACUUUAACAAUUGCAUAAACACAUAAAUUGAGUAAACAGAGAUUAUAACUUCAUAUAAACAAGGUUAAGCAGUCAAAAACCCUCAAGUAAAGCAAAAAAAAAAAAAAAAAAAAA